CGGACCGGGGCUGGGCCGUGCGGCGGCAGCGGCGCCAGGGGAUGCUCUUGCUGGGCCUGGCCUCUCCCUUCUCAACUUAGGGCGGCGGCGGGCCCGCGCCCCUGGCUCCCGGGCCAUGGCGCUGAGGGAGCUCAAAGUGUGUCUGCUCGGGGAUACAGGUGUAGGUAAAUCGAGUAUUGUGUGGCGGUUUGUGGAAGACAGUUUUGAUCCAAACAUCAACCCAACAAUAGGCCCUAUCAUCUUGUCAUAGCCUGCACACAGGUUCCGAAUCCACCCCACUCCACCACAAGAGCACCCAUUCCCCAACCUACUGCUCAGAUGGUGGAACUCCUGAAAGAGAAGUUACCACUUCCGCAACUGCUGCUCACUCUUCAGCCCUCCGUCAUCUCAGCUCCUCCCUGCCAUGCCACUAAAACCACCUUCCCCUGGUACCAGUUUCCAUCUAAUAGCCAAAGUCAAAUGGCCUUUUCUUGGUAGUUUUCUUUAUUCAUAGAGUGCCUGCUAUAUGCCAGGUGCUAGACUGGGUGCUGG
rnacentral:lncRNA from 1 species